AUGCACCUCAUUUGCCUUUAGACGGAGUGAGGUUAAAGAAUCUGCAUGUGGGAACUGUGGAAGUUUUGCCCCAGCAAUUUCGCUGGGGAGGUCAGAAUGUAUGGAGUCAGCCAGCUGUAGCUGGCACCUGUGUUUUUGGCUGAAAGGCACUGAACGAUGGACCCCGCCUCCUUCUCCGCUCCUCCUCUAAACUUGGUUUAACACAACAGCACACACAGCUGUUAAAAGCUCACAAUCAACCCAGAAAGGAAAGAGCUAAAGGCAAAGGUUAUUUUUCACCAAGAAACAGCUCGGAGCGGAGUCAGAGAGGGAUUUUGAGCCUCAGUCUUUUUCCUUCAACCUUUUCCUUGGAAGGAUGCAGCCUCAGGACACAGGUGUUCAGUACAGCAGGUGGAACAACAGUAGUCGUGAUGAAGUCAGUGUGAACACAUCCACUGCCGAGGUGUCAGGAUGUAAAAGAAUCUACACGAAGCUGUGCACUGGGAAAAUCGGCAUUGCGGUUAAAGUGAUUGGAGGAAACAUCGUCUUUUGGACGGUUUUUGUCAUUGGCUACGUGACAGGUUACUACGUGCACAAGUGCAAGUAGAAAUAACAGUGAAAUUCACCGGCAGGACCCAGGCCUGGAUUUCUCUGAUGAGAAGACAGGGUUCCCUCAGGUACAUGCUGCCUUUCCUCUCUUCUUCCCUCAUUCCUCACUGGACCACAGCCCAUGCAAUGGAGCCUUUCGCCAGGAUGCUUUUAAGAGCAAAGAUGCUGAGACAACCCAGAUCUGUGCUGUGGAAGGUCACAUAAGGGAGAGGAAAAGCAUUUGAGCCACCCUGUGAGCAGUAUGUUUGCAGCAGUAUCUAUUGCUCUGGAUGGACAGGCCCAGAAUGCAUCUGUGGGAGAGAGAGGCCAGCGCCAGAGAAGCCACAUUCGAUAGCACAAACUGCAAACUAAAGCAGCACAGAGUUUUUUAUUUACCAAGGGGUCUGGGGUUUUUUUUAAGUCACUGGUAAAGAAUGAAAGCUGGUCAGCAGCCUGGGGGGCAGAUCAGGGCAGGAGCUCGGGAGACUUCAGGGUAACAAAAGGCUGAAGCAAGGGAGGAUUUUGGGUUUGAUAUUCAUUGUACUAAUUUCUCAACUUCCCCUGCUGCUACUACCCACAAUUCAUGUAUUGCCCUGAAAUAGCUUCUGCGUCUGCUCACUAGUGUCACUGAUCCCUAGGCCACUCGUACGUAGGGCUCAGAAUCCUGAUGAUUGUGGGGCUCUCCGGGAGUUGUGGAGGGUAACGGCUGUUUAAUAGGCAUAUUAAGCUCUCGGAGUGCUUUUCAGCCGUGGAUCUCCAAGCAGCUCAUUCACAGGACUGCUUAUCAGAGGAGUGUGAUUCAUCCCAGCUGGACUGUCUGGCAAUCACUUCAGUGAGGGUAAACACCUGUGGGGUAGGUCUAACUUGGCAGAGUUGCCUCUUCUCCUGUUUACAAUGGUAUUGCUUAACUUUUCAUGAGAGGAGAGAUCUUGGCUGUUAAAAUAACUUUUCACCAGCUAUCUCAUGAGCAAAAUACAUUCCUGACCUAAUCACCUGACCAGAAUGAAAGAAGCAAGCACAAUUAAACCUGUCAGCCAGCAGAAAGCAACAGAGCAGAAAGAAUAUACAAAAGCUGACAUUUCUCCUCUGGCAAUAGCCUUUACUAACCUGCCUUAAUGCUGGUUUCCUUGUUUGUCCUCAAAUGUGGUGGUGCUGCUAGAUGGGAGCCGUCUCUUUCCAAACACAGUCUGACACCGUUACUGGGGGCCUGAAUCGGUGCUUGUCCAAAGAGCUAUCCUGAAGGGGCAGGAGCCUAAUGUCCUCUGAGCACAGGCAGCAGCAGUGCCAACUUCCCCACGCUGUGCAUCUGACACCCAUCAGUCAGGGGUACUUCUGGGUCUGAGCAGAGUUCAGCCUCCACCUCAAUUCUGUGCUCCCUCCAACAGACCACAAACAAGGAUGCUCACUGGUGCUGGAUGCAAUGGUAGUUUUGUGAUGUGAUCACCUGUCCCUCCUGGAACUGGGCUCAGACCCACCCAAUUGAUUUCACACACAGGCUACCAUGUGGUGGUAACUUUGGUUGCUGUUGACCUGGCUGAGAUUUGAACCAAGCAAUCUAGAGAAAAAAGUUUUCAGUAGAGGAGUGAUUGCAUUUUAAAACAUUGUAUGAGAGCACACCAAAUCUUUGGUGUUGGAGAUCGUUAGGAGAUUGAUGUGUGGCAAAUUGAGCCAGUUUCUUAUCUUACACCUACAUAAAUCCAGAGUAAUUCCACUCCAGUAUCUAGCUAAGGUAUUUAUGUGUUGACCCCUGUUGUAUCUCAUGCCUGACAGUAAUGAUGUGUGGAAGGAAUUAUGAAAUACAGUUAUCACUUAGCACACACUGGUCUCACUGAUGUAACUUGUGCCAGUGUCUGACACAUUGCUAGAGGCUGAAGCAGUGUUGCAGAGGAGGGAAUAUCACAGGCCAAGGUUCUGAUGCAACCUUAACACUUACCUCUUGGUACAGCAUUUGUGGAUGUAUCUUGAUAACUGGUUUAUUGCAUAUUUAGUCCUUUUCCCAAAUAUUAAAGUAGCACAUUCCCAAGGAACAAGAUGUACUGCUCAGGCGCUUUAUUGCUUAAAAGUCUAAUGAGUCAGCAGUUUGGCCAAAGUGGACUCUGAUACCCUCAUCCCACUUCCCCCACAGCUUCUGAAUACUAAGGCUUGUAGUUCUUGUUUGUUUUAGGACACUUGUCAACCUGUUUCCCUGGUCCAGAAACUUGCUGUAACCUUUUAGGAAACACGUCUCCUACAUUUCAAACCGAUUUAAACAGAAAGAAAAAAUCCCAUGUGUGCCAGUGAGUGUGUUGCUAAUAACGAUGGCUGCUGUUGUGACACAGACCAUUUUUGGUAAUGCCACACGAUCCUGCUUAAAGAUCAUCUUCAACCUUGAUUUCCACUUACAGCAAGACAUUUCCAUCUAGAUGCAUAUUUCUAGUGCACCAAUCACUAUGGUAUGUUGGUCCCAUUUCCUGAGCCCACUAUGCUAUUGUGUUAUGUGUUUCAUUGUGGAUACACUGGGCCAUCUGGUACAGAUCAGAGUAACUUUACUGACCUGAACAAAGCAAUGCUGAUUUCCCCCACACAAAGAUCAUUUCUUAUCCUUCCCAAAUCCUCCAGGUAGAGCUGAGAUGAAUUAUUUGUAAUAAAAUAACUGAUAACUGAGUCU